AUUGAACGCUGGCGGCAGGCUUAACACAUGCAAGUCGAGCGAGCGGCGGCCGGGUGAGUCAUGUCUGGGAAACUGCCUGAUGGAAGGGGAUAACUACUGGAAACGGUAGCUAAUACCGCAUACCAUCAGAUGUGCCCAGAUGGGAGUAGCUAGUAGGUGGGGUAAUGUCUCACCUAGGGGACGAUCCCUACCUGGUCUGGGAGGAUGACCAGCCCAACUGGAACUGAGACACGGUCCAGAUGCCUACGGGAGGCAGCAGUGGGGAAUAUUGGACAAUGGGCGCAAGCAUAAUGCAGCAAUGCCGCGGGUGUGAAGAAGGCCUUCGGGGUGUAAAGCACUUUCAGCGAGGAGGCGGUACUCGUAGAAGAAGCACCGGCUAACUCCGUGCCAGCAGCCGCGGUAAUAC
rnacentral:rRNA from 1 species